rnacentral:sRNA from 1 species
CAUUCCACGCAGACAAGCGUGUCCUUCAUGAGACAGGAUUCAGUACUGAGCUAGAUCGUGUAAAGAAUCUGCCUCAUUGUGAAACGGAAAUAUUUGAAGUGAGAUUUGACCCACAGGGGGCCAAUCUUCCUGUUGGAAGCAAAGAAGUCAUUCUGCCCAUCAAGGUGGUUGGAGGGCCAACAGUUCACAUCUGUCUCCAAGCCAAGGUGACCAUUCCAACCAUGACUCUCUCUCGUGGAAAAGUGGACUUUGCCACAAUUCAGUGUGGACAGUGCCUGGUGGAAACUAUUCAGCUUUCCAAUCAUCUCCAAGUCCCUUGUGAAUGGUUUGUCCAGAGCCAAAAGCCUGUUGACAAGCUGGAGAAACACAUGCCGAAGUACUUAAGACAGAAACUACGUGCUGAAUUAAAGCCAAAGACACGGAUCUUCGAAAUCCAGCCCAUUUCUGGAGUCUUGGAUCCUGGUGAGAAGUCCAACGUGCAAGUGAAAUUCAUGCCAAAAGAAGAGAAAUUCUACAGCCAAACCCUGGUGUUUCAGAUUGCCCAGAGUGCUCAAAAGCUUACCCUGCUGGCACGUGGGCAAGGUCUAGAGCCACGCCUGGAAUUUAGUCCUUCAGUCCUGGAUCUGGGGCCACUGCUACUUUGUGCACCUGGAGAUGAGGCCGAGGUGAUAGUGAGGAAUCCCUGCAACUUCCCCAUUGAGUUUUAUUCCUUAGAAUUUGAUCAGCAGUAUCUCAUAGAAGAAAAGAUCUUGCGGAAGCUGAAGGGCUAUGAUUCCUACAACACCCUGCUGCUGCCUCCCCGCAACCCUGGGGAGAAGCUGCCCCCAGAACUGUACGAGUACUUCAAGGAGAUAAAGAAGUCAAAAGAGGAGCAGAUGAGGGUGAAAUAUCUGGAGAAUCUGGCACAGGAGAAUGAAGAGGAAGAUGUAACCUCAUCAGAUCAGGGAACCUCCAAUAGCACAAAGAGGACAUCGCUGAGCCGAGGGAUCUCUGUCACAUCCAACCUGGAAGAGUGGCACGCCCUGUUGGUCGAGUCCAAAACCUAUCUAGAGGAAGAGGAGGAUGAGGAAAGCCUGGAAAAAAUCAUGUUCCAAACUGACAAGCUUCAGAACAUUGACAACCACUCCAUGGAGGAAGUUGGAGAGGUGGAAAACAACCCAGUGAGCAAAGCAAUCGCUCGCCACCUGGGCAUUGACAUUUCUGCAGAAGGCCGCCUGGCCAAGAACCGGAAAGGCAUCGCCAUUAUCAUUCACGGGACACCCUUGUCAGGAAAGUCAGCCAAUGCCGUCAGCAUGGCCAAGUACUACAACGCAGCCUGCCUGAGCAUCGACUCCAUUGUGCUGGAAGCUGUGGCCGACAGCAACAACGUCCCAGGGAUCCGGGCCCGUGAGCUCUGCAUCAGGGCUGCCAUAGAGCAGUCCAUGAAGGAAGGAGAGGAGGCUGCUGAGUGACUGCUACCGAGGAGUGGUGUUUGAUGGCCUCGACACUCUCUUUGCUCGGAAUGCUGCAGCUGCCCUCCUCUGCCUGCUGAAGGCCAUUGGCAGCCGGGAGCACAUAUACAUUCUCAACAUGGCCCAGGAUUAUGCAGCCAUGAAGGCCCAGGAGAAAGCCAAAAAGGAGCAAGAAGGCAAGGCCCCCUACCUUCCCAUUGGGCUUAAAUGAAACUUUGACAUUUGCUAUUCCGUUGGCGCCUCACCUCUGCCCUGUAAGGUGGCCAGGAGUUGUAUUUCUGCUUUGCUGGGAGGGAACUGGGACACGAGUGGCUGGUUGGGAAGUUCUAUGAUGAACGCUCUGCUGACAGCAGGUGCAUUCCUGCUUCCCUCCCAUCACACUGUACCCCUCCAUCCUUUCUGCAAUUACAGCCAUUACGGGUCCC